rnacentral:rRNA from 1 species
AAAACAUGUCCUUUAGAAUUUAAUUUAAGGUCUAACCUGCCCACUGAAUUAAAUGGCCGCAGUAUUUUAACUGUGCAAAGGUAGCAUAAUCAUUAGUCUUUUAAUUGAAGGCUUGUAUGAAUGGUUGGACGAGAUAUUAGCUGUUUCAUAGAAAUUAGUUUAGAAUUUUAUUUUUUAGUUAAAAAGCUAAAAUUUUUUUAAAAGACGAGAAGACCCUAUAGAUCUUUAUAAUUCAGUUAUUAUAAUUAUUUAGAUAAGUUAAAUUAUGAUAAAUUUAAUUAUUUUGUUGGGGUGACAUUAAAAUUUAAUUAACUUUUAAUAUAUUGUUACAUUGAUGUAUGAUUAAUUGAUCCACUAUUAGUGAUUAUAAAAUUAAGUUACCUUAGGGAUAACAGCGUAAUUUUUUUGAAGAGUUCAUAUCGAUAAAAAAGAUUGCGACCUCGAUGUUGGAUUAAGAUAUAAUUUUGGGUGCAGCAAUUCAAUAAUUAAGUCUGUUCGACUUUUAAUUUCUUACAUGA